rnacentral:rRNA from 1 species
AUGGAGAGUUUGAUCCUGGCUCAGGAUGAACGCUGGCGGCGUGCCUAAUACAUGCAAGUCGAGCGAACGGACGAGAAGCUUGCUUCUCUGAUGUUAGCGGCGGACGGGUGAGUAACACGUGGAUAACCUACCUAUAAGACUGGGAUAACUUCGGGAAACCGGAGCUAAUACCGGAUAAUAUUUUGAACCGCAUGGUUCAAAAGUGAAAGACGGUCUUGCUGUCACUUAUAGAUGGAUCCGCGCUGCAUUAGCUAGUUGGUAAGGUAACGGCUUACCAAGGCAACGAUGCAUAGCCGACCUGAGAGGGUGAUCGGCCACACUGGAACUGAGACACGGUCCAGACUCCUACGGGAGGCAGCAGUAGGGAAUCUUCCGCAAUGGGCGAAAGCCUGACGGAGCAACGCCGCGUGAGUGAUGAAGGUCUUCGGAUCGUAAAACUCUGUUAUUAGGGAAGAACAUAUGUGUAAGUAACUGUGCACAUCUUGACGGUACCUAAUCAGAAAGCCACGGCUAACUACGUGCCAGCAGCCGCGGUAAUACGUAGGUGGCAAGCGUUAUCCGGAAUUAUUGGGCGUAAAGCGCGCGUAGGCGGUUUUUUAAGUCUGAUGUGAAAGCCCACGGCUCAACCGUGGAGGGUCAUUGGAAACUGGAAAACUUGAGUGCAGAAGAGGAAAGUGGAAUUCCAUGUGUAGCGGUGAAAUGCGCAGAGAUAUGGAGGAACACCAGUGGCGAAGGCGACUUUCUGGUCUGUAACUGACGCUGAUGUGCGAAAGCGUGGGGAUCAAACAGGAUUAGAUACCCUGGUAGUCCACGCCGUAAACGAUGAGUGCUAAGUGUUAGGGGGUUUCCGCCCCUUAGUGCUGCAGCUAACGCAUUAAGCACUCCGCCUGGGGAGUACGACCGCAAGGUUGAAACUCAAAGGAAUUGACGGGGACCCGCACAAGCGGUGGAGCAUGUGGUUUAAUUCGAAGCAACGCGAAGAACCUUACCAAAUCUUGACAUCCUUUGACAACUCUAGAGAUAGAGCCUUCCCCUUCGGGGGACAAAGUGACAGGUGGUGCAUGGUUGUCGUCAGCUCGUGUCGUGAGAUGUUGGGUUAAGUCCCGCAACGAGCGCAACCCUUAAGCUUAGUUGCCAUCAUUAAGUUGGGCACUCUAAGUUGACUGCCGGUGACAAACCGGAGGAAGGUGGGGAUGACGUCAAAUCAUCAUGCCCCUUAUGAUUUGGGCUACACACGUGCUACAAUGGACAAUACAAAGGGCAGCGAAACCGCGAGGUCAAGCAAAUCCCAUAAAGUUGUUCUCAGUUCGGAUUGUAGUCUGCAACUCGACUACAUGAAGCUGGAAUCGCUAGUAAUCGUAGAUCAGCAUGCUACGGUGAAUACGUUCCCGGGUCUUGUACACACCGCCCGUCACACCACGAGAGUUUGUAACACCCGAAGCCGGUGGAGUAACCUUUUAGGAGCUAGCCGUCGAAGGUGGGACAAAUGAUUGGGGUGAAGUCGUAACAAGGUAGCCGUAUCGGAAGGUGCGGCUGGAUCACCUCCUUUCU